GACUGGCUUUCUCUUGUUUUGUUUUCAUUUAAUUCCUCAUUGCUGUUAGUGGACUACAUGAGUGUUUAGUAGGCAGAAUCAUAACUAUAUUUUAGAAUUUUUAAUAGCUUGGAAUACAAGCAAAUGCUAGUACAUAUCUUCCUCUGUCGGUAUGAACUGCUAUAGGUUAUAAUUAUUAUAGUUUACAAACAAGAAUAUGAGUUUCCCCAAAGCUGUGACAAUUUAUUAUAGUUUACCAACACUUAAGAAUAUGAGUUUCCCCAAAGCUGUGACAAUGAUAUGACCUUGGAUGUAUCUCUUUGCACUAUCAGUAUGUUUAAAAUAAAGAAUGGGGGCUAUUUAUUUUAACUUUUAUUAAAGUGGCAGGACAUGAAUAGUCUUCAGUCAAGACUACUGUAAACUAAGAUCUUUGAGACAAGGCACUUAUGACUACUUAUUUUUGGGUACCUAAGCCUUCAAUUUCUAUUUAUUCCAGAACGCAGGUGGUUAUCCUCUUUGUGUUAGACAAGCCUAUGCUAAAGACCAGAAUUCUGAGCGUACUCAAAUCUUUAUGAAUCACUUUGAGUUGAUGACAAUGACUGCUAGAAAAAGAAGUUCCUCAAACAGGUUUCUUGCAGACAACUGUGACAAACUACUGCCUGUGUCUGAAGUUGUUUCCAUCUGCACGGAGCCUACGAUGAUGCAGGAAAAGGUAUUAGCUGAAGAACAAACAGCUCCUCAACUGCAGGAGCAACAGCCCAGCCGGGAGCGAGAGGAGGAACAAAGAUUUGGGCAAAGCCAAACCACAGGGAGAAACACAGGUGAGAAACACAAACACCAUUGCCAUGCGGUGUGCAAAUUUGGUUCACUCCUGGAGUUGCAGGCAGGGAAAUAACGUUCCUCCCAGCUCAAUGAAACUGUGAGCCCAGAUUCAUGUGCACUUUAUGGCAUCUGCUGUGACCUCGCUGAGGUGUGCAGGACUCUCAGCAAAGCUGGAGAACUGGGACAUUGAGUAGCAAAGCAUUUUGUUUCACCUGAGCUAAAGUGAACAGACUUAAGCGUUACCAAAAAUACAAUCUUAUUGCUCAAGGAUAUAAGAGCAUUCAAAGAAAAAUUACAGACAAGCUCCUUCAUAAAAAUACACCAUUUUGGGCCUCAUCCCAGAGUGGGUUUUAUGAUGCUGAGAAAGGAAUUCCAUAUAUGGAGAGGAACAAAUCUCCGUUUAUGGUACUAAUCCAUCUGUACUUGUUCAAUGUAUUUAUCUCCCUCAUUGGAAGGAUUUCUUGAAACUUCACACCCUCUUUUGUGAUCACUUUAGAACACUUGCAAAUGUUAGAAGUGCCAUGUGUUUUAUGUUGCUUUUUGGCACUUCUAUGGCACGCUCCUUGCAGCCAGAGCCAUGUUGGAGCCGGUGUGGGUGGUACCCCCUGUUCCUGCACUCCUGGAGCCCUCACCCCCAGGACCUGUCUACGAAGGGUUCACUUGUCACCACCACUCUGAGAAUGGCUCUGGAGGUGCUUGUGGUGACUCCACUGAUACCAGGUGACCUUCCAAAUUUUUAUUUUCAGUCCACAUUGGAAAUAAAUCCUCACAUUUCUAUUAAAUAGCGUUGCUC
rnacentral:lncRNA from 1 species